AACUGAUACUACCUGCGGGAACCUGCGGAGGGAUCAUUCACAAUAAGUGUUCAAUGGCACUUUAAAAUCCAUUACCCACCUUGUGUGCAAUGUAAGGAAGAGGAGCCUUUUGGGGCCCCUCUUUCAUUAUACAUACCAAAUCUUCUCUUGUUGUCUACUUUUUGAGUAAUAAAAAAACUCGAAUACAACUUUCAGCAAUGGAUCUCU
rnacentral:misc_RNA from 1 species